GCUCACUGUGGUCCAGGACCAGCUGCAGAAAGCACAGAAUGGUAAAGCAGGUGAUUGUGACUCCAACAUGCUUGAAUCAGAAAAAAAGGAAAGUUGGAGCCUUAAAAAGAAAAUAUCAGACAUGGAAGAACA